rnacentral:lncRNA from 1 species
GUCAAUACAGUCCACUCACAAUGCCAUUAUUUACCGGUUUUGUACAGAGAUAGCAAUUCAGUUGUAAACACUGCCAGAAUAUUUUCUAGCUGGUUUGUAAUUUUUUAAGACCGUCGCCUUUGGGUUUUCGUGUUUUGUUUUGUUUUGUUUUUUGUUUUUGUUUUUUUGUCGUCGUUGUGCCCGAGACUCUUGUUUGCCUUUUUUUUUUUUUUUUGUGGUUCAUGUAGUUCUGUCUGUAAAUAGAAUCACAGUAUUUAAAGCUUUCGCUUUCAGGAAAAAAAAAAAAACGAAGUAAGAAUCCAAGUGUGCGCGUGGCAGGUUGUGUGUGUGAGAAGGGAUCUGAGGAAGAUGCCUUGAGGAGGAGGUUGGGUGGCAGUUGGCAGGGUGUGGGAAUGUCUUUCCUACGGGGUACAUGCUUUUUGUAAAAAGGAAGUGUUCCUCCCAACCCUGGGAGUAGGCAAACUACUAAUCAGUUUAGCUUUGUGCUGUAUGCUAGUUUAAAAAAAAAUAAAUAAAUAAUGUAAUAUAAUGUAAAAAUAGACAAACAAACAAACAAAAGCUUUUAUGAUGGAUUUUGUAAAUAGAUUUGUUACAGGGUGACCUGUUCUAGCUGUGAUCUUACCACUUCAAAUGGAUGUAAUUUGAAUAAAUUUUGUAUGGUAAAGGGUCAAUAAAAUGAUUUUUUUUUUUAAGAGUU